UACAGAGGUCCCAAGCGUUGUUCGGAUUCACUGGGCGUAAAGGGUGCGUAGGCGGUGAGGUAAGUCGGAUGUGAAAGCUCGGAGCUCAACUCCGAAAUGGCAUUGGAAACUACCUUGCUAGAGGGUUGGAGAGGGGACUGGAAUGCUUGGUGUAGCAGUGAAAUGCGUAGAUAUCAAGCGGAACACCAGUGGCGAAGGCGAGUCCCUGGACAACUCCUGACACUGAGGCACGAAAGCUAGGGGAGCAAACAGG
rnacentral:rRNA from 1 species